rnacentral:rRNA from 1 species
AACGAACGCUGGCGGCAUGCCUAACACAUGCAAGUCGAACGAAACCUUCGGGUCUUUUGGCGCACGGCUACGUAAGACGGGGGGAGCUGCACUUAGGUACGGAAUACCUCCCCGAAAGGGGUGCUAAUACCGGAUAAUGUCUUAGGACCAAAGAUUUAUUGCGAUUGGAUGGGCGCGCGUUGGAUUCGCUGGUUGGUAGGGUAAUAGCCUAUCAAGGGGAGGAUGCAUAGCUGGUAGGGGAGGAUGAUCAGCCACGCUGGGACUGAGACACGGCCCAGAAUCCUACGGAAGGGAGGAGAGGGGAAUAUAGGAGAAUGGGGGAAGGCCUGAACCAGCAAUGCCGGGUGAGUGAUGAAGGCCGUAGGGAAGUAAUGCUCUUUUAGCCGGGAUGAUAAUGACGGUACCGGGAGAAUAAGCACCGGCUAACUACGUG